AGUCGACGAUGAAGCUGGAGCUUGCUCCGGUGGAUUAGUGGCGAACGGGUGAGUAACACGUGAGCAAUCUGCCCUUGACUCUGGGAUAACUGCGGGAAACUGUAGCUAAUACCGGAUACGAGACUGAGAGGCAUCUUUCAGUCUGGAAAGAAUUUCGGUCAAGGAUGAGCUCGCGGCCUAUCAACUAGUUGGUGAGGUAAUGGCUCACCAAGGCGACGACGGGUAGCCGGCCUGAGAGGGUGACCGGCCACACUGGAACUGAGACACGGUCCAGACUCCUACGGGAGGCAGCAGUGGGGAAUAUUGCACAAUGGGCGAAAGCCUGAUGCAGCAACGCCGCGUGAGGGAUGAAGGCCUUCGGGUUGUAAACCUCUUUUAGCAGGGAAGAAGCGAAAGUGACGGUACCUGCAGAAAAAGCACCGGCUAACUACGUGCCAGCAGCCGCGGUAAUACGUAGGGUGCAAGCGUUGUCCGGAAUUAUUGGGCGUAAAGAGCUCGUAGGCGGUUUGUCGCGUCUGCUGUGAAAAUCCGAGGCUCAACCUCGGACCUGCAGUGGGUACGGGCAAACUAGAGUGCGGUAGGGGAGAUGGGAAUUCCUGGUGUAGCGGUGGAAUGCGCAGAUAUCAGGAGGAACACCGAUGGCGAAGGCACAUCUCUGGGCCGUAACUGACGCUGAGGAGCGAAAGCGUGGGGAGCGAACAGGAUUAGAUACCCUGGUAGUCCACGCCGUAAACGGUGGGUGCUAGUUGUGGGUUCCAUUCAC
rnacentral:rRNA from 1 species